CUGGUUUUUCCGCAGAACUGCCAAGACGACUGAAAGGCGGCAAGUGAGAGCAGUGAAAUCGGGGUUGAGAAGCCACAUUCCGUCGUCGAAAGCCGCGGCUAUUCCUCCUGCUAGUUUGCCAUCCCACCGUCUCGCCGUCAGUAGCUGGUCGGAAAAAGUGCCCUCAGUCUCCAUUACUGGCAAGCCACCACCAGCGCGAUACCCCAGAGAGAUUCCGCCAGUGCGGUAGUGCCAACUGAUAGAAACCGUCGGGAAACCUGCUAUCGUCGCCGACGCCGCUGGGAAGCGUGGAGGACGCCUAUUCCCACGCCCAUCCAAAAAAGUGCUUCAAGCCGCCGAUCCUCAUCACCGCCUGGACGUCGCUUCAGUUCGUCGCCGACGCCGCUGGGAAGCGUGGAGGACGCCUAUUCCCACGCCCAUCCAAGAAAGUGCUUCAAGCCGCCGAUCCCCAUCACCGCCUAGACACAGCAUCGGUCCGUCGCAAACGCCGCCGGUAAACGUGGAGGUCGCCAAUUCCCACAACCGGCCAAGAUAGUGCGCCGAUCCUUAUCAUCGCCAAGACACCACAUCAUCAAUCCGUCGCAGACGCCGCCGGGAAACGUGGAUGACGCCAAUUCCCACAACCGGCCCCAGAUAGUGCUCCGAGCCGUCGAUCGACAUCAGUCGGCAACCGGAUGAGAAGCAUGUCCCCCCACCAACCAGCCCGCACCAAGCAUCAAAUGAACACGCAAGUACCAUUGUAACCACCAUGUAAUAAAUUAUAAAAUGUAAGCUAAAAUCGCCUUAGUAGCUAUAGUAGCUACAAAGGUUUAAAACCAUCGGCACGGUGCACAAGAAAAGAGAGGAAGACAAUCCGUACAGUGCUAGUGAAAUGCGUAAAACAAUACAAAAUAAUUGUAUAGUGCUAGUAAAAUGUGUGAACGAUCAUUACGAUGCACGAGAAAAAUAGUGAAGUGAAAAUCAAACUGUUCGAUACACGAGAAAGGAUAUGAAGAGAAUGCAGAUUCGAAGAUCUGCAAGACAAUCUGUACAGCAGGCGAGAGGGGUGAUGAAGAGAAUGCAGAUACCAAGAUAAUCAGUACAGCAGACGAGCAAGGCGACGAAGAGAAUGCAGAUGCCAAAAAACACCAACCCGAGACCAGUGGAGUGAAAAUACAGUAGCUGGAGUUCUGGAAAAUUCAGUAAGAAAUUCCUAAACUCGAUGUGACAAUAGGUUGCUGUUCUUCCUCUACUACGGGAACAGCGAGAAGCAUCCAACUACUUCAACUAUAUUGCUGCAUAGAGACCACCGUUCGGCUUGGUGGUGCGAGUGGCGUAGAGUAGUGUGAGAGGGUACCCAUUAUAUUCACCGUCACGCGUCGUAUUCACACCCCUCAAUGAUUGAACAGUCAUCAAUAAACUUAAAAGCUACGCUACGAAGCAUGUCCAUACACAUCGCAGCAGGCGUUGCACAUAACGAGAAAAAGCCGGCCCUCUUUCGUGUGCCGAUCUUUGGACAGGACCUAUUUUUGUUUGUCAAGAAUGCGGAAAUGAAUUGAGAUCAGCAGUGCGAAGCUAGCUCCACCAACAGCAACAAUGGCAGUGAUCACGAAUGACGUGGUCAUCGCUUUUACUAUCGCUACCAAAAUACGGCGGAACAGCAAUCGGAAUCUAACAUCGGAAUCUUGGACAUUGAUGAAGAAAAAAACACCAUCGAGCGGCAAAACGCAGGCAAAGUGCUACACGGUCACAAACUUUCUGGUGCAGGAGCGCGAGCAUGUUUUGCAUUGCGGAGGAUAGCCUUAUUUGGCGAGACCAUCGAAUGAAUCUGUUGUACAUCCCGGGUCACAUCGCUUUCAUGAUGGAAGUUGACAGUCGCUGACAGCUCCCGACGAAACGUUGGUAAUUUUAGACGGAUUGACGCAAAAAUGGAUUUACGGAACGAAACAAUAAAGUAACGGUGUGGAAUCGGCCGAUAGGUCAACUGAA